ACACAGCAGCGUGCGAAGUCCGAAGACGAUGUAUACGCUGUGACGCCUGCCCGGUGCCGGAAGGUU
rnacentral:rRNA from 1 species